GCUAUUUAUGGGAUAUCUUGUGGAUAUGCCUUACAUUUUGGAGACUAAAAUACCCUUUUCAAAGUGAAUCUCUCCAACAGGUCAUGGGUCCAGCUCUUCUAAUACUUGGCAAUCAACUGAUAUGACUUAGGGAAGAUCAUGGAGACUAUAUCCUGACUCAGUUGGGAAUUGGGAGUAGUGCGUCUCAGAAGUCUAUCUGAUGGCAGAUGAAAGGGUGGCUGAGGCACAGUCUUAGGCAUAACAAGAUUCAAAACAAUAUCCGUAGCAAGGGGAUCGCCAUUAUGGACAGUGAGGUAGUAAUAUUCCAAAAUUCCUUCAGAAUCAGAAAAUGUAAGAAUACCACCUGACAUUCAAAAUAACAAAAAUAAUAAAUACGUUCUCUGAAGAAAAGGAUCCUUCAUUAGAUGACAAUAUGAGUAUUGUGUGUUCCAGUGACAUUAGCU